UACGUAGGGUGCAAGCGUUAAUCGGAAUUACUGGGCGUAAAGCGUGCGCAGGCGGUGAUGUAAGACCGAUGUGAAAUCCCCGGGCUUAACCUGGGAACUGCAUUGGUGACUGCAUUGCUGGAGUAUGGCAGAGGGGGGUGGAAUUCCACGUGUAGCAGUGAAAUGCGUAGAUAUCUGGAGGGAUACCGGUGGCGAAGGCGGCGAUCCUGGACUAAUACUGACGCUGAGGCGCGAAAGCUAGGGGAGCAAACGGG
rnacentral:rRNA from 1 species